rnacentral:rRNA from 1 species
UACGGGGGGGGCAAGCGUUGUUCGGAAUUACUGGGCGUAAAGGGCUCGUAGGCGGCCAACUAAGUCGAACGUGAAAUCCCCAGGCUCAACCUGGGAACUGCGUCCGAUACUGGAUGGCUUGAAUCCGGGAGAGGGAUGCAGAAUUCCAGGUGUAGCGGUGAAAUGCGUAGAUAUCUGGAGGAACAUCGGUGGCGAAGGCGGCAUCCUGGACCGGUACUGACGCUGAGGCGCGAAAGCCAGGGGAGCAAAGCAGG